rnacentral:snRNA from 1 species
AUACUUACCCAGCAGAUCACGAAGGUGGAAUUAUCAGGGGGAGGCUUAUCCGUUUCCUCCUGAAUGUGCUGACCGAUGCGACUUCCCCAAAUGUGGGAAACCAGAGUGCAUGAUUUGUGGUAGUGGGGGACUGCUUUCGCGCUCUGCCCUG